CACUUGCCUUGGAGUCAGCUGGCUACGUCCUCAGCCACCCCAAAGUGCCUGGCUUCCUAACUGAAGUGCAGGCCACACUAGUGGACAAGGGAGGUGGGCGGGACCAGUGAGUCCCAGAGGCUGCAUGGCUGUUUCAGAGCGAAUAGGAACCAGGGAGAACUAGGGAGGCAGAGACAAUACAGGGAAUGGUGAGAGUCAUUCUACCAGUCCUGUUCAUGUGGAGAAUCUUGAAUAUUGCAGCUGCAUGUUUUUAUGCACCAGUCCAUGGAGGAAUGUACUGGAUAACAGCAGUGCUCAUAAAGACAUUCUCCCUGGCUCUGUUAUUCCUUACGUAUCCAAAUUUCCAUGAACACUACUCUCUUUAUUAUUUUUCAUUUGCUGGAAUCUGCUCUGAAUUUCAGGAAUAAAACUCAUAAACCCAUGGAGCUGUCAUCCAGCGUUCUGAUGGGGAAAAUACCUAUUGUUUGAGAUCUGGUCUGCUUUUCAUGGUUGUCUGAAAUUGCUAUGACAACCAGGUAAAAAGUAGCUUGAGUUCAUCUGACCUCACCGUGAAACCAGAGAACAAACAUCUCCUUUUGUGACCUUAAAACUCUCUACCUGUUAAUAUUCUGGGCACCCUUCCCCCUGUGGGGCAGGAAAUCUCUCCGCCCACCUAAUACAGUGUACUGUAAAAGCUAGCUAGCCAAGUUGUGUUCAGUAGGAAAAAGGGAAAGUUCCUACGGAGUGAAAGAAGUCUGCAUCUGCUUGGGAGCCAGGGGCAAGUGCUAUUGAAAUGCAUAUAUUGGCCGAGCUAGAAAAGAUCUUUGACUGGUGUGGAAUGACCAGAAACCACUGUGCUGUGCCUUUAAGCACACAAUAGCCCUGUGGGAGGUGUUUUUGUCACUCAGGCCUCACUAGCCAAUCAGACCCUCCAGAUGACUUGCCAGUCAGAAGUCGUGCAGGGCUCUUCCGGGCACCCGGUUUCAGGUUUGGCUUUGAAGAGGAGCUGGCGCCAGUGGUUUAGUAUGCUGUGGAGCUGCUGUCACUGCAGGGAUAGGAUGAGCUUAAGAGUUUUGGCGACCUGGGGAGCCACAACAUGAAGGCUGUGACCUAUGAUGAUGUGCAUAUCAACUUCACUUGGGAAGAGUGGAAUUUGCUGGAUGCUUCCCAGAAGACUCUUUACAAAGAUGUGAUGCUGGAGACCUACAGGAACCUCGCUACUGUAGGAUACAUUUGGGAAAACCAUAAUAUUAAAGAACAUUGUCAAAUUUCUAGAAGACAUGAAAGGUAA